rnacentral:lncRNA from 1 species
AAGAGGUGAAAUUCCUUUAUGCUAUUCUUGACUUGUCAAUGAUCGACAUAAACAAACUUCAAUCUCAACAGGUCAUAGCACCAUCUGAAGAGGUCCAGGAGAAAGAGGACCAGGAAAUUGAGGCCAUUCUAAAUGCUACUUUUAAGGUUGAGCAAAAGAAAAAGUCUAGGGAGAGUCCAAGUUAGUGAGAUUGAAACAAAAGUUCUUAAGGAGCAACUUGAGAAAGGCAUU